ACGGGUGUAGCUCAAUUUGGCAGAGUAGCGGUCUCCAAAACCGCGGGCUGGGAGUUCGAGUCUCUCCACCCGUG
rnacentral:tRNA from 1 species